UGGGGAAUAUUGGACAAUGGGCGAAAGCCUGAUCCAGCCAUGCCGCGUGUGUGGAGAAGGUCUUCGGAUUGUAAAGCACUUUAAGUUGGGAGGAAGGGCAUUAACCUAAUACGUUAGUGUUUUGACGUUACCGACAGAAUAAGCACCGGCUAACUCUGUGCCAGCAGCCGCGGUAAUACAGAGGGUGCAAGCGUUAAUCGGAAUUACUGGGCGUAAAGCGCGCGUAGGUGGUUUGUUAAGUUGGAUGUGAAAUCCCCGGGCUCAACCUGGGAACUGCAUUCAAAACUGACUGACUAGAGUAUGGUAGAGGGUGGUGGAAUUUCCUGUGUAGCGGUGAAAUGCGUAGAUAUAGGAAGGAACACCAGUGGCGAAGGCGACCACCUGGACUAAUACUGACACUGAGGUGCGAAAGCGUGGGGAGCAAACA
rnacentral:rRNA from 1 species